CAGCCGCCACGGUAAGACAGAGGAUGCAAGCGUUAUCCGGAAUGAUUGGGCGUAAAGCGUCUGUAGGUGGAUUUUCAAGUCCGCCGUCAAAUCCCAGUGCUCAACCCUGGGCAGGCGGUGGAAACUACCAAGCUGGAGUACGGUAGGGGAAGAGGGAAUUUCCGGUGGAGCGGUGAAAUGCGUUGAGAUCGGAAAGAACACCAACGGUGAAAGCACUCUGCUGGGCUGACACUGACACUGAGAGACGAAAGCUAGGGGAGCAAAUGGGAUUAUAUACCCCCGUAGUCCCUGUCUCUUAUAC
rnacentral:rRNA from 1 species